AGAAACUUAGGAUAACCAUAAACCGAAGGCCUUCAAAGCCUUAAACAAGAGUUAAACCCUCUUAGUUUCUGC
rnacentral:tRNA from 1 species